rnacentral:rRNA from 1 species
CCUACGGGAGGCAGCAGUGAGGAAUAUUGGCCAUGGAGGCAACUCUGAUCCAGCCAUGCCGCGUGCAGGAAGACGGCCCUAUGGGUUGUAAACUGCUUUUAUACAGGAAGAAACGCCGCUACGUGUAGCGGUUUGACGGUACUGUACGAAUAAGGAUCGGCUAACUCCGUGCCAGCAGCCGCGGUAAUACGGAGGAUCCAAGCGUUAUCCGGAAUCAUUGGGUUUAAAGGGUCCGUAGGCGGUUUUUUAAGUCAGAGGUGAAAUCCUGCAACUCAACUGUAGCAUUGCCUUUGAUACUGAAAGACUUGAGUUAUUGUGAAGUAGUUAGAAUGUGUAGUGUAGCGGUGAAAUGCAUAGAUAUUACACAGAAUACCGAUUGCGAAAUUUUUUUACUAACAAUAUACUGACGCUGAGGGACGAAAGCGUGGGUAGCGAACAGGAUUAGAUACCCUGGUAGUCCACGCCGUAAACGAUGGAUACUAGCUGUUCGACCAACAUUGGUUGGUUGAGUGGCUAAGCGAAAGUGAUAAGUAUCCCACCUGGGGAGUACGCUCGCAAGAGUGAAACUCAAAGGAAUUGACGGA